rnacentral:rRNA from 1 species
UACGGGGGGAGCAAGCGUUGUUCGGAUUUACUGGGCGUAAAGGGCGCGUAGGCGGUCGUGACAAGUCACUUGUGAAAUCUCCGGGCUUAACUCGGAACGGUCAAGUGAUACUGUCGGACUAGAGUACAGAAGGGGCAACUGGAAUUCUCGGUGUAGCGGCGAAAUGCGUAGACAUCGAGAGGAACACCUGCGGCGAAGGCGGGUUGCUGGGCUGAUACUGACGCUGAGGCGCGAAAGCCAGGGGAGCGAACGGG